CAGCGUCACGAGUGGCAACCAUAUUUAUUGGGCCUAAAGCGUCCGUAGCCUGUUUGAUAAGUCUUUUGUGAAAUCGUUGAGCUCAACUUAACGUCGUGCAAGAGAUACUGUCAGACUUGGAAUUGGGAAGAGUUAGAGGUAUUCUGGGGGGAGCGGUAAAAUGCUAUAAUCCCUGGAGGACCACCAGUGGCGAAAGCGUCUGACUAGAACAACUUCGACGGUGAGGGACGAAAGCCAGGGGAGCAAAACGGAUUAGAUACCCGAGUAGUCC
rnacentral:rRNA from 1 species